rnacentral:lncRNA from 1 species
UCAUGAUGUAAUCCUGCAGUGGCAGAAGGACAGUGAAGAGAUGUUUGUCCCUAGAAGGGCUUCCACGAGACCCAGGGAACUGCCAGUCCAGGUUCAGUCCAUCAAACCCAUACUGGCGCAGGAAUUUGAUGGCUGAGUUAAUGAAAGUCUGUUGGUUGUGUGGAGUGGAGACCAUGGCACUGAACCUGAGGGAGACCAAGAGAAGGCAGGGUAAGGCCUCCGUGAUAGUAACAUAUUGGGAUUAAAACACUUUACAGGCCCAAGUCUGUCUCUGAGCUCUUCACUAGGAUGUCUCAACCUGGUGCAUACUUGUUCCUGUUUUUUGCCUCAUCCUCUCUUUGCAACCACUACCCUUUUCAGUUUCAGGAGUCAGCAUUCACUUUUGUUUGGUUAUCCCCAACUAUAACUAUUCCCAAAUUAUUUUUGUUUUUCUGGAUAUCCAGCAAUCUUAAUUUACCAUGUUGUCUUCAAAUACCCUCCAAGUUCAUGUGCACUCAAAGAGGUCUUAUGAGUAGACUUCUUCAAAAGA